CGCAAACGCUGCGGGAAAAAGCU
rnacentral:snRNA from 1 species